AAUCAAUAUAAACAGUGAAUUUACCAUAGAGAUAUAGUGAAUAAUUUC
rnacentral:guide_RNA from 1 species